AGUGGCGGACGGGUGAGGAACACGUGGGAACCUACCCCCUGGUGAGGGAUACCGGCGAGAAAUCGCCGACAAGCCCGCAUAGGCUCUCUCAGGAGAGCAAAGCCGCAAGGCGCCAGAGGAGGGGCCCGCGGCCGAUUAGCUGGCUGGUGGGGUAAAGGCUCACCAGGGCGACGAUCGGUAGCUGGUCUGAGAGGACGAUCAGCCACACUGGGAUUGAGAACGGCCCAGACUCCUACGGGGGGCAGCAGUGAGGAAUUUUCCGCAAUGGAGGCAACUCUGACGGAGCAACGCCGCGUGCAGGAAGACGGCCUUCGGGUUGUAAACUGCUUUUCUGGGGGACGAGGGAGCAAGGACGGUACCCCAGGAAGAAGCCCCGGCUAACUACGUGCCAGCAGCCGCGGUAAGACGUAGGGGGCGAGCGUUGUCCGGAGUUACUGGGCGUAAAGGGCACGCAGGCGGUCAGGCGCGUGUGCGGGGACAGUGGGCGGCUUAACUGCCCAAGCGUCGCACAAACGGCCUGACUGGAGGGCCAGAGAGGGACCUGGAAUUCCGGGUGGAGCGGUGAAAUGCGUAGAGAUCCGGAGGAACACCAAGGGCGCAGGCAAGGUCCUGGCUGGUUACUGACGCUCGGGUGCGAAAGCCAGGGGAGCGAACGGGAUUAGAUACCCCGGUAGUCCUGGCUGUAAACGAUGACCACCAGACGUGGGAGGUAUCGACCCCUUCCGUGUCGUAGUUAACACGAUCAGUGGUCCGCCUGGGGAGUACGGUCGCAAGAUUAAAACUCAAAGGAAUUGACGGGGGCCCGCACAAGCGGUGGAACAUGUGGUUUAAUUCGA
rnacentral:rRNA from 1 species